UACGAAGGGGGCUAGCGUUGCUCGGAAUCACUGGGCGUAAAGCGCACGUAGGCGGCUUUCUAAGUCAGGGGUGAAAUCCUGGAGCUCAACUCCAGAACUGCCUUUGAUACUGGGAAGCUCGAGUCCGGAAGAGGUGAGUGGAACUCCGAGUGUAGAGGUGAAAUUCGUAGAUAUUCGGAAGAACACCAGUGGCGAAGGCGGCUCACUGGACCACAACUGACGCUGAUG
rnacentral:rRNA from 1 species